GUCUGCCAUUACCCAAGUGGAAAUUAAUUGACUUGAAAUUGAACCAUUUACAUUUAUAAGAGGAUGCUUCCCGGCAACUGAACACAGAUAAAUAUAUACCAUAUCUCAGACUAAAAAGACAAUGGCUGCUGGUUCUGGUUUGAAUUGGUAAACAGCACCACUGUUUUAAGCGUCUAGGAAACCUUGCAUACGAUCUGCACAACCAUUAGAUGACAAUUCUGCACGUACAAAAAGUUUGAAAUGGUUGCUAAUAACUUCGGGGACGGGAUCAUCCAACUCCACUCGCCAAAGCUUCUAUCCUUCCUUCUGCUCUUGUUUCUGUUAAACCCUUCUGCAACUCCUUUAACCUUCAACUUCCCCAGCUUUUCCAAUGGCACCACCAACAUAUCCCUAGAAGGAGAUGCAUAUAUUGAUGGCAAAUUCAUCAAACUCACCAAAAAACCCGAAGAGCUUAAAGUGGCUGAGAACAUUGGUCGAGCAACCUACCACAAACCGUUCCUUCUCCAGGAAAAAGCCACCGGAAAACUGGCCGAUUUCACCACACAUUUUACUUUCAUCAUUGAUUCCGGCCACAGUGACGGGAUGGUGUUCUUCCUAGCCCCAAAUGGAUCUUUAGCCAACAUUGCAAUAGGGGGUGGUGGCAAACUUGGCCUCCCCGUUGAAGACUUGCCAGGAGGCAUGUCUAGAACUCAGUAUCCAUUUGUGGCAGUGGAGUUUGAUAUCUUCCAGAAUACACAGCCAAGCAUCCAGGAUCCCCCGAGCGAUCAUGUAGCAAUCGACAUCAACUCUCUCAAGUCUAAUAUUACCACGACUUGGAAUGGUGGUAUUGACAAAGCAAAACUAAACAGCGCUUGGGUUAGUUAUAACUCUAGCUCAAAAAAUCUCAGUGUUGCCUUUACCAGUUUUCUAAAUGGUACAAAUGGCACCCAAGUGGAGAUAAUCAGAUAUCUUUCUUAAAUGGUUGAUCUGAAACAAUACUUGCCAGAUUGGGUCAUUGUUGGAUUCUCUGCUGCAACGGGCAAUGACAUUGCUGUGCAUAGGAUCGUCUCGUGGAAUUUCACAUCAACAGCUCUGGUUGAUGAGACUACAAUGAACAACACACAAGUAUUUCCUCCGCCAAGCCCUAGUGCUAAUCCCAAGUCAGGAACUUCCAACAUACGACUCCCCAUUGGGUUGGGUGUUGGUGGAUGUAUUAUCUUGGCUGGUGGAUUGGCUUUGGUUUGGUUCAUGUUCAUUUUUCGGAAGAGAAAGGCAGUGGGGGAAAGUGAUGAGAAUCCUGUUGUCAACUGUUUAAUUGACGAUGAAUUUGAAAAGGGAACUGGCCCGAGGAAGUUUUCAUACAGGGACUUAGCUCGAGCAACGAAUAAUUUUCAUGAGGGGGAGAAGCUGGGAGAGGGAGGAUUUGGAGGGGUUUACAGAGGCUUUAUAAAAAACUUGAACUCAUAUGUUGCAAUUAAGAGGAUAUCCAAUGGAUCUAAGCAAGGUUUGAAGGAGUAUGCAUCAGAAGUAAGAAUUAUCAGUAGACUUAGGCAUCGGAAUUUGGUGCAACUCAUUGGUUGGUGCCAUGAAAAAAGAGAACUACUACUCGUCUACGAGUUCAUGCCCAACAGCAGUUUAGAUUCCCACCUAUUCAAAAUAAAUAGCUUGUUAAGUUGGCAAAUCAGAUACAAAAUAGCUCAAGGUUUGGCCUCCAGCUUAUUCUAUCUACACGAAGAAUGGGAACAAUGUGUGCUGCACAGGGAUAUCAAAUCCAGCAACGUUAUGUUGGAUUCAAAUUUCAAUGUGAAACUUGGUGAUUUUGGAUUAGCUCGACUUGUGGACCAUGGAAAACAGUCACCAACAACAAUUGUGGCUGGAACUAGAGGCUACAUGGCUCUGGAAUAUGUUUCUACAGGAAAGGCUAGCAAGGAAUCAGAUGUCUACAGCUUUGGAGUGGUUGCUUUGGAAAUAGCUUGUGGAAGAAAACCGAUCGAUCUCAAUUUAGAAAGUAGUGAAAUCGAAAUGGUGGAGUGGGUUUGGGAGCUUUAUGGAGAAGGGAAAGUUAUUCAAGCAGCCGAUCCAAAACUCUAUGGACAAUUUGAUGAGAAUCAAAUGGAGAGCUUGAUGACUGUUGGGUUGUGUUGUGCUCACCCAGAUUAUAGAUUCAGACCUUCAAUACAACAUGCGAUUCAAGUGCUUAACUUGGAAGUUCCAUUGCCUAUUCUCCCAUCAAAGAUGCCAGUUGCCACCUAUUUUGCACCUCCAACAUCACUUUCAAUGUUGUCCAAUCAAACUACUACUUCUGAAAGAGGUCAAACUGAGUCAGGCUGCUAUAGUUAUAGCACCAAUUCCUCACAACUCACUGCAUCUCCUACAACGCAGUUCUUGUCCAUCGACACUGAAGCACAGUUCUUGUCCACGGACACUGAAGAACAGUUCUUGUCCAUGGACACUGAAGAACAGUUCUUGUCCAUCGACACUGAAGCACAAGUCUUGUCCAUUGACGACACAGCAGCUUGAGCAAUAA